AAGCUGGAAUCGCUAGUAGUCGCGGAUCAGAAUGCCGCGGUGAAUACGUUCCCGGGUCUUGUACACACCGCCCGUCACACCAUGGGAGUCGGAAAUGCCCGAAGUCUGUGACCCAACCUUAGGGAGGGAGCAGCCGAAGGCAGGUCGGAUGACUGGGGUGAAGUCGUAACAAGGUAAC
rnacentral:rRNA from 1 species